CUUCAGCGACCCCAGCCAGAGCGGCGCACCCGGCGGCCGGCGCUGCCCGUACACCGCCAGCAACGCGUGCGCCUC
rnacentral:antisense_RNA from 1 species